GACGAACGCUGGCGGCGUGCUUAACACAUGCAAGUCGAACGGAAAGGCCCUGCUUUUGUGGGGUGCUCGAGUGGCGAACGGGUGAGUAACACGUGAGUAACCUGCCCUUGACUUUGGGAUAACUUCAGGAAACUGGGGCUAAUACCGGAUAGGAGCUCCCGCUGCAUGGUGGGGGUUGGAAAGAUUGGGCGGUUGGGGAUGGACUCGCGGCUUAUCUGCUUGUUGGUGGGGUAGUGGCUUACCAAGGCUUUGACGGGUAGCCGGCCUGAGAGGGUGACCGGCCACCUUGGGACUGAGAUAGGGCCCAGACUCCUACGGGAGGCAGCAGUGGGGAAUAUUGCACAAUGGGCGGAAGCCUGAUGCAGCAGCGCCGCGUGCGGGAUGACGGCCUUCGGGUUGUAAACCGCUUUCGCCUGUGACGAAGCGUGAGUGACGGUAAUGGGUAAAGAAGCACCGGCUAACUACGUG
rnacentral:rRNA from 1 species